UGGGGAAUUGUUCGCAAUGGGCGCAAGCCUGACGACGCAACGCCGCGUGGAGGAUGAAGACCUUCGGGUCGUAAACUCCUUUCGACCGAGAUGAAGAGGCCUCGACCUAACACGUCGAGGUCCUGACAGUAUCGAGGGAAGCAGCCCCGGCUAACUCCGUGCCAGCAGCCGCGGUAAUACGGGGGGGGCAAGCGUUGUUCGGAAUUACUGGGCGUAAAGGGUUUGUAGGUGGCCGACUAAGUCAGACGUGAAAUCCCUCAGCUUAACUGGGGAACUGCGUCUGGGACUGGUCGGCUUGAGGGCCGGAGAGGAACGCGGAAUUCCAGGUGUAGCGGUGAAAUGCGUAGAUAUCUGGAGGAACACCGGUGGCGAAGGCGGCGUUCUGGACGGCAUCUGACACUGAGAAACGAAAGCCAGGGGAGCAAACGGGAUUAGAUACCCCCGUAGUCC
rnacentral:rRNA from 1 species